rnacentral:rRNA from 1 species
UUGGAGGGCAAGUCUGGUGCCAGCAGCCGCGGUAAUUCCAGCUCCAAUAGCGUAUAUUAAAGUUGUUGCAGUUAAAAAGCUCGUAGUUGAACUUCGGGAUCAAAUUGUCGGUCGUGCCUCGGUACGCACUGGUAUUAUUGGUUCCUACCUUCUGAAGAACCGCGAUGUCAUUAAUUUGGUGUCGUGGGGAAUCAGGACUGUUACUUUGAAAAAAUUAGAGUGUUUAAAGCAGGCUUACGCUUGAAUACAUUAGCAUGGAAUAAUGAAAUAGGACGUUUGAUACUAUUUUGUUGGUUUCUAGGAUUGACAUAAUGAUUAAUAGGGAUAGUUGGGGGCAUUAGUAUUCAAUUGUCUGAGGUGAAAUUCUUGGAUUUAUUGAAGACUAACUACUGCGAAAGCAUUUGCCAAGGAUGUUUUCAUUAAUCAAGAACGAAAGUUAGGGGAUCGAAGACGAUCAGAUACCGUCGUAGUCUUAACCAUAAACUAUGCCGACUAGGGAUCGGAUGAUGUUAAUUUUUUAAUGACUCAUUCGGCGCCUUACGGGAAACCAAAGUGUUUGGGUUC